AUUGAACGCUGGCGGCAGGCCUAACACAUGCAAGUCGAGCGAAUGAAGGGAGCUUGCUCCUGGAUUCAGCGGCGGACGGGUGAGUAAUGCCUAGGAAUCUGCCUGGUAGUGGGGGAUAACGUCCGGAAACGGGCGCUAAUACCGCAUACGUCCUGAGGGAGAAGGUGGGGGAUCUUCGGACCUCACGCUAUCAGACGAGCCUAGGUCGGAUUAGCUAGUUGGUGGGGUAAAGGCCUACCAAGGCGACGAUCCGUAACUGGUCUGAGAGGAUGAUCAGUCACACUGGAACUGAGACACGGUCCAGACUCCUACGGGAGGCAGCAGUGGGGAAUAUUGGACAAUGGGCGAAAGCCUGAUCCAGCCAUGCCGCGUGUGUGAAGAAGGUCUUCGGAUUGUAAAGCACUUUAAGUUGGGAGGAAGGGCAGUAAGUUAAUACCUUGCUGUUUUGACGUUACCAACAGAAUAAGCACCGGCUAACUUCGUG
rnacentral:rRNA from 1 species